rnacentral:rRNA from 1 species
GGUUUGAUUAUGGCUCAGAUUGAACGCUGGCGGGAUGCUUUACACAUGCAAGUCGAACGGCAGCACGGACUUCGGUCUGGUGGCAGGAAGUGGCGAACGGGUGAGUAAUGUAUCGGAACGUGCCUAGUAGCGGGGGGAUAACUAUGCGAAAGCGUAGCUAAUACCGCAUACGCCCUUCGAGGAAAGCGGGGGACCUUCGGGCCUCGCACUAUUAGAGCGGCCGAUAUCGGAUUAGCUAGUUGGUGGGAGUAACGGCUCACCAAGGCGACGAUCCGUAGCUGGUUUGAGAGGACGACCAGCCACACUGGGACUGAGACACGGCCCAGACUCCUACGGGAGGCAGCAGUGGGGAAUUUUGGACAAUGGGAAACCUGAUCCAGCCAUCCCGCGUGUGCGAUGAAGGCCUUCGGGUUGUAAAGCACUUUUGGCAGGAAAAAACGGCACAGGAUAAUACCCCGUGCAACUGACAGUACCUGCAGAAUAAGCACCGGCUAACCGUGCCAGCAGCCGCGGUAAUACGUAGGGUGCAAGCGUUAAUCGGAAUUACUGGGCGUAAAGCGUGCGCAGGCGGUUCGGAAAAGAAAGAUGUGAAAUCCCAGAGCUUAACUUUGGAACCGCAUUUUUAACUACCGAGCUGGGUAUGUCCAGAGGAGGUGGAAUUCCGCGUGUAGCAGUGGAAAUGCGUAGAUAUGCGGAGGAACACCGCCGAUGGCGAAGGCAGCCUCCUGGGAUGACACUGACAACGCUCAUGCACGAAAGCGUGGGGAGCAAACAAAGAUUAGAUACCCUGGUAGUCCACUUCCCUAAACGAUGUCAACUAGCUGUUGGGGCCUUCGGGCCUUAGUAGCGCAGCUAACGCGUAGAAGUUGACCGCCUGGGGAGUACGGUCGCAAGAUUAAAACUCAAAGGAAUUGACGGGGACCCGCACAAGCGGUGGAUGAUGUGGAUUAAUUCGAUGCAACGCGAAAAACCUUACCUACCCUUGACAUGUCUGGAAUCCCGAAGAGAUUUGGGGUACUCGCAAGAGAACCGGAACACAGGUGCUGCAUGGCUGUCGUCAGCUCGUGUCGUGAGAUGUUGGGUUAAGUCCGCAACGAGCGCAGCCUUGUCAUUAGUUGCUACGAGGCACUCUAAUGACAAGGGUUGCACUCGUGCGAGACAACCCGGCGUCUCACGCAAGCUGACGACAACCGUGCGUACCUGUGUUCCGGUUCUCUUGCGAGCACUCCAAAUGUCUUCGGGAUUCAGACGUAAGGUUUUUUUCGCCUCGUUACAUCAUCCACCGCUGUCUGACGGUUUUAAUCUUGCGACCACUCCCCACACCGCGCGUUAGCUAAGGCGAAAUACAACGAGCUGACGUCGUUUAGUGAGUUCAAAAAUUAUCAAUCUUGUUUGCUCCCCGCGCUCGUGCGUGAACGUCAGUGGUGUCCCGGGAGGCUGCCUUCGCCCAUCGAUUUCGCUCCCGCGUAUCGCGUUUCACUU